rnacentral:piRNA from 1 species
AUGAAAAGAUUGACUUGACCCUGCUU